UAGACAGGGUCUCUCUACACAGCACUGCCUGUCCUACUUUGUAGACCAGGUUGUCUUCAAAUUCAGAAAUUCACCUGCCUCAGCCUCCAGAGUACUGGGACCAAAGGCAUGUGCUACCACAUCCGGCAGCAUUUAAUAAAACCAACUUUCACUUAAGGAAAAUUCUGAGUUAUAAAACAACAAUAAAAAAUAAAAAUAAAAGUAUUUAAUAGAAACUCACAUAGAGUAAACUUUUCCUUACUUAAAUAACUUUGUAAAUGACAGUUAUAAAACUUGUAUGGGGGCUGGUGAGAUGGUUCAGUGUUCUUAUGAUACAGAUAGUUAGGACUUAAUACAGCAGAACUCUUACCUGUACCUGUAAUUUAGGUGCAGAAUAGGGGGUUUGAAGCCAGGGCCUUGAUCACGCUAGGUAAAUAUUCUAUGCAGCUCAAUGAUUUACAUUUUAAAAAUGUAUUGAAAACCAAUCACUUUCUUAUCUGUGGCAAAUUAUUGGGAAAAUGUGUUCUAAAUUGACAUAAGAUAAUUACAGACACAUCUGAAGGUAGUAAACACAUUCUGCAGAAAUGUUAAAGGUAAAAAACAUUCUGCAGAAAUGUUAAAGACAAACUUAAACUCCCAGAAACAUGGUCAUAAAUAAAGUCUUUAGAGAACUUUACAUUUAAUAUAGGCAAAUUCUUUUUUUUUGGUUUGGUUUUUUUUGAGACAGGGUUUCUCUGUAUAGCCCUGGCUGUCUGAGAACUCACUUUAUAGACCAGGCUGGCCUCAAACGCAGGGAUUAAAGGCAUAUGCUACCACUGCCUGGCUUAAUAUAGGCAAAUUCUUAACUGACCAUAGCUAAUAAUGAUACUUGAUAAGACAAAGAAUAUUUCCUGAAUAAUUAAAGACAACCAAACCACAACUGAAUUACUCUAAGUCUAAAACAUUAAAACCAUUAUUUAGAUAGCAACAGUAUUUUUACCAAUAGUUUGUGCAGGUUUAACAGAACCAGGCUUAUUUUCCUGAUGAAGGCUCUCUGAAUUUCUAGUGGCAAGAGGCUUGGCAACAGGAGCUGUAGACUUAUCGUUGGUUUCUCCUGUCCAUCGAAGAGUAAAUUGUAAUGUAGGUCCCUGAGAAAAUGUCUCAAAUGGAGGCAGCCUCUAAACAAUACAUAAAAUAGGACAGAGUUACGAUGACAUCAAGAUAUUACAGACAUGAAAUGAAGAUACUCAUUAUUGGGGCUGCAGAGAUGGCUCAGCAGCUGAGAACACUCUUUGCUUUUUUUUUUUUUUUCCUUAAAAAAUAAAAAUCAAGGGCUGGAGAGGGAUAUACAGAGAAACCCUAUCUUGAAAAAAAACAAAACAAAGCAAAACAAACAAAAAAGUAAGGCUGUAGAGAUGGCUCAGUGUUCUGAAGAUCCUGAGUUCAAAUCUCAGCAACCACAUGGUGGCUCAUAACCAUCUACAAUGAGAUCUGACGCCCUCUUCUGGUUUGUCAAGGCAGCUACAGCAUACAUAAGUAUAAAUUUUUGGGCCAGAGAAAGCUGGGGGUGACAGAGCAGGGCUCAACGGAGCGAGCAGCAGUUCUAAAAAAAUUUCAAUUCCCAACAACCACAUGAAGGUUCACAACCAUCUGAACAGCUAUAAUGUACUCACGUAACAAAUAAAUCUUAAAAAAAAAAGAAUUAAAAAUAAAUAAAAAUUAUGUAUAUAUACAUGUGCACAGCUAAGAUAUGUGCUUCAGUGCAGACCCAAAGAAGCCAGAAGAAGGGAUGAGAUAACCCGGAGUUGAAUUUUGAACCCAAUAUUGGUGCUGAUAACUGUUCACAGUAAGACCUUGUCUCAAUAAAUAAAAAUCAUAUUUAAAACUAAUUCCCAAUAAACCAAUUUCAGUAAUUAAAAAAAAAAAACGUAGGAUAUAUGUAACAAAAAGUAAAGUUAGACUCAGAAGUCUUGCUGGAUGGGCGUAGCACACACCUUUAAUCCCAGCACUUAAGUGGCAGUUAGGUAAAUCUCGUUUACCUGGUCUGCCUGGUCCCCAAAGAAACCUGUCUCAACCAACCACCAACCCCCACACACGGACACAAAAUGAGAAAUCCUGUCAAAAUCUCAUCUUUCUUAGUGGCUAUCUUUUUGGGUAUCAGUUCUUCUUGCUCUUCACUAUCCACUAUCUAAAAGUUGCUGUUUGAUGUUCAGAUGCCUCUUUGUAAAAGAACUUGCUACAAAGCAUAACAGACCAAGUUUGAUCCCAAAACUCGUAUGAAACAUUUCUUUUAUUUUUGGUUUUUUCGAGAUAGGGUUUCACUGUGUAGCAUACUUUAAUCCAAGCACUCAGGAGGCAGAGGCAGGUGGAUUUCUGAAUUCAAGGCCAGCCUGGUCUACAGAGUGAUUUCUAGGACAGCCAGAGCUACACAGAGAAACCCUAUCCCAAAAAACCAAAAGAAGAAAAGGGGAGGGGGGGGGGAAGGACAAAACAAAACAAAAUAUACAUAUUCUUUUAAGAUGGCUCAGUAGUUUAGAAAACUGACUGCUCUUCUGAAGAUCCUAAGUUCAAAUUCCAGCAAUCACAUGGUAGCUCACAACCAUCCCUAAUAAAAUACAAUGUCCUCUUCUGGGAUGACAGGCACAGUGUAUUUACAUAUAAUAAAUAAAUCUUUUUUAAAAACUAUAUCAUUUAUUUGUUGUUCUAUUGGACUAUGGGAACUUUUUGCUACUAUUACUAUUUUGAGACAGGGUAUUUUAGGAAGCACAGAUUAGCAUCUAUUUCACUUUCCUGAUGCUUCAGUCUUUAAGACCUAUACAAUAGUUUUAGAUCAGAGAAACAAGAACUUUCACCAUGGGCUGGAGAGAUGGCUCAUUGGUUAAUAAGAGCACUGACUGUUCUUUCGGAAGUCCUGAGUUCAAUUCCCAGCAACCACAUAGUGGCUCACAACCAUCUAUAAUGGGAUCGAACACCAUCUUCUGGUGUGUCUAAAGGCAGCAAUAGUAUACUCAUAUAUAAAGUAAAUCUUAAAAAACAAAAAAUUUCAACAAAUGAAUUCAAAUUUCCUCAUUAAUUACUUCUCUUGGAGACUAGCUUUGAAAACAUGUGUUCGGGAAACCUACUUGUUUUACUGUCUGAAGUAAUUGGGAUUAAAGAUAUGUGCUACAACAUCUGUGUAUCAUAGGUUCACUGCGGUUAUGGUAGCCUUUGUUCUAAGUCUUAGGUUUUUACUGUUGUUUAGCAUUUCAAAAUCUACAUGGUUUUAAAAUUUGGAUUAUUCUCUCAGAAGACCUCAAUGUGAGAUUACAAGAAAAAAUUUAAUGCACCUAAUCUUAAAACAGUGGUUCACAAAUAUACUUUCUUUACUAAAAGCAAUACCACGACUCAUCAAAUAAUUGGAACUCUCAGACUAAUUCAGAAAAGGAGAUUUUAAGUCUUAAGGAAAAUGUAAAUGGAAAAAAAAAUAUCCUGGAAUCUGCUUGAAAGGACUCCUCAUACUCAAACUUGGGAUAAUUUGAGCAGCAAAAUGAAUAACAUGAUCAAAUGAAAAAUAACUCACUAAAAAUGUUAACCCACAUUGACAAAAAGCCAAAAAAAUUCAAAAUAAAUCAUCCCUUUCAC
rnacentral:lncRNA from 1 species